AAACAUCCGGUUGUUCUCCUCGCCUCCCUCGUUCACCUCUCAGAUCCCAAUCGAUUCGGCCGCUGUGGAUGGAGGACGACGCAGAGGGGGACAGGUGUUGUGUUUGCAAGCAUGAGAUCGUUGUAUGUCGUGAUGCACAAGGUCCACCGUGUCACGUAGGGAUACCGAUCACAAAGUUCUAUCGUUCCAAAAUGUUUGUUCCAUGCGCUAUCCGGCAUAUCAUAGAAGAAUACAUCCAUCGCGUUGAACCAGAUGCGAUGCAAGGAGACAUAAAGACUUGGAC